AGGCCACGGUGAGGGCAUUCUUGGAGUAGAUCGUUGAAUCUCUCUAAGAGUUUAGAAAAGGAAUCAUAAGACUUUUACCUAAACUGAAGGAUAUCAUUUCUAAGCUU